AAAAAGGCAAACACUGGGUUUUCGUGCCAAUAUUUGACUGUCUGUCUUAUAUGAAAUUUUUUUGUAAUUAGUAUUUUCAUUGUUGUUAGAUGAUAAAACAAGAUUAAUACUUUAUGCGUGACUUAUCUUUUUAAUUUUUUUCAAAUAAGACGGACGGUCAAACGUUGGACACAGAAACCAGGGUUUGUCUUUUU
rfam:Oryza sativa (indica cultivar-group) chromosome 1, whole genome shotgun sequence.